AUUGAACGCUGGCGGCAGGCCUAACUCAUGCAAGUCGAACGGUAACAGGAAGACGCUUGCUUCUUUGCUGACGAGUGGCGGACGGGUGAGUAAUGUCUGGGAAACUGCCUGAUGGAGGGGGAUAACUACUGGAAACGGUAGCUAAUACCGCAUAACGUCGCAAGACCAAAGAGGGGGACCUUCGGGCCUCUUGCCAUCGGAUGUGCCCAGAUGGGAUUAGCUAGUAGGUGGGGUAACGGCUCACCUAGGCGACGAUCCCUAGCUGGUCUGAGAGGAUGACCAGCCACACUGGAACUGAGACACGGUCCAGACUCCUACGGGAGGCAGCAGUGGGGAAUAUUGCACAAUGGGCGCAAGCCUGAUGCAGCCAUGCCGCGUGUAUGAAGAAGGCCUUCGGGUUGUAAAGUACUUUCAGCGGGGAGGAAGGGAGUAAAGUUAAUACCUUUGCUCAUUGACGUUACCCGCAGAAGAAGCACCGGCUAACUCCGUG
rnacentral:rRNA from 1 species